rnacentral:rRNA from 1 species
UGUUCGGGUUAAGUCCCGUAACGAGCGCAACCCUUGUCCUUAGUUACCAGCACGUUAUGGUGGGCACUCUAAGGAGACUGCCGGUGGACAAACCGGAGGAAGGUGGGGAUGACGUCAAGUCCAUCAUGGCCCUUACGGCCUGGGCUACACACGUGCUACAAUGGUCGGUACAAAGGGUUGCCAAGCCGCGAGGGUGGAGCUAAUCCCAAUAAAACCGAUCGUAGUCCGGAUCGCAGUCUGCAACUCGACUGCGUGAAGUCGGAAUCGCUAGUAAUCGUGAAUCAGAAUGUCACGGUGAAUACGUUCCCGGGCCUU